rnacentral:rRNA from 1 species
UACGGGGGGGGCAAGCGUUGUUCGGAAUUACUGGGCGUAAAGGGCUCGUAGGCGGCCAACUAAGUCAGACGUGAAAUCCCUCGGCUUAACCGGGGAACUGCGUCUGAUACUGGAUGGCUUGAAUCCGGGAGAGGGAUGCGGAAUUCCAGGUGUAGCGGUGAAAUGCGUAGAGUAUCUGGAGGAACACCGGUGGCGAAGGCGGCCCACUGGUCCGGUACUGACGCUGAGGUGCGAAAGCGUGGGGAGCAAACAGG